AUUGAACGCUGGCGGCAGGCCUAACACAUGCAAGUCGAACGAGUGGCGGACGGGUGAGUAAUGUCUGGGAAACUGCCUGAUGGAGGGGGAUAACUACUGGAAACGACUGCUAAUACCGCGUACCAUAGGAUGAGCCCAAGUGGGAUUAGGUAGUUGGUGGGGUAAUGGCCUACCAAGCCGACGAUCUCUAGCUGGUCUGAGAGGAUGACCAGCCACACCGGGACUGAGAGACGGCCCGGACUCCUACGGGAGGCAGCAGUGGGGAAUAUUGCGCAAUGGGGGCAACCCUGACGCAGCCAUGCCGCGUGAAUGAAGAAGGCCUUCGGGUUGUAAAGUUCUUUCGGUAUGGAGGCGUUAAAUACAGAAGAAGCACCGGCUAACUCCGUGCCAGCAGCCGCGGUAAUUC
rnacentral:rRNA from 1 species